rnacentral:lncRNA from 13 species
CGCACGUACCCACUCCUGACCAACUUCCUUCUGAGGUGUCAGAAGCGCAAGGAGCUUUAUGUUCCUCAGGGCAGCAGGAAGGUCGUGUCAACUUGGUGUCGUUUAUUGGAUCUUGCUUGGUUACCCUGGCUAGAAUGCAGUGCCACAAUCGCAGCUCACUGCAGCCUCGACCUCCCAGGUUCAAGUGAUCCUCCCACCUCAGCCUCCU